UUUCAUUUUAUUAUUAAUUUUAUUGAUAAUCAAAGCUUAAUAAUUUCAUUCUAUUAUUAAUUUAAUCGAUAAUCAAAGCUUAAUAAUUUCAUUCUAUUAUUAAUUUAAUUCUCUUUGCUUUUUUCUCAGGGCUUCUUCAUUUCAUUGAAACUAUUUCUCAUUUAUUUUUCUUACAUGCCGUAUUGUGCAUAUUUAUAGGAACAAGUUUUUCUAUGUUCAAGUCCUAGCACAUUUUAUGUAGACCAACAAAAUGAAAUUGAAAUGGACAAAGUAAAAAUCCAGCUCAAAUUGUAUUGGUUACAAACAAAUGUGAUGUUUGUCUUAUGUGAUGUGUAUUAUUGGUUCCUGUGAUUUCCUUCACUUUUCUAUCCCAAUGUUCUUCCAAAUCUCUGGUCAUACAGAUAUUUAUUUUUCUGUCUGUCUCUAGUUUAGUCAGAAUCCUAGUAGUGCUGCAUUGGCUUUGGGCUCUAGUUGUCACAAUUACAUGUACCAAAGUUCUCUAGAGAACUACCCCCACAAUACUCAAAUUUUAAUGAAAAGUUUCCAUGGGUAUGAAGUAAAGUUCUCCUGUCUAUGACAAAGUGAAGUUUACCUAUGAUAAGGUAAAAUCCACCUGUCUGAUAAAGUUACCUUGUCUAUGAUAAGGAAAAGUUACCCUGUCUGUGCUAAAUUUUUCUUGUCUUUGAUAAAGUACAUUUUUCCUGUCUUUGAUAAAGUAAAUUUUUCUUGUCUAUGAUAAGGUAAAUUUCUCCUGUCUU